CCUACGGGAGGCAGCAGUGAGGAAUAUUGGUCAAUGGACGCAAGUCUGAACCAGCCAUGCCGCGUGCAGGAAGACUGCUCUAUGAGUUGUAAACUUCUUUUGUACGAGAGUAACGGCAGAUACGCGUAUCUGUCUGAAAGUAUCGUACGAAUAAGGAUCGGCUAACUCCGUGCCAGCAGCCGCGGUAAUACGGAGGAUUCAAGCGUUAUCCGGAUUUAUUGGGUUUAAAGGGUGCGUAGGCGGUCGGAUAAGUUAGAGGUGAAAUCCCGAGGCUCAACUUUGGAAUUGCCUUUGAUACUGGUCGGCUUGAGUGUAGUUGCGGUAGGCGGAAUGCAUGGUGUAGCGGUGAAAUGCUUAGAGAUCACACAGAACACCGAUUGCGAAGGCAGCUUACCAAGCUACUACUGACGUUGAGGCACGAAAGCGUGGGGAGCAAACAGGAUUAGAUACCCUAGUAGUC
rnacentral:rRNA from 1 species